rnacentral:tRNA from 2 species
GGGGCCGUAGCUCAGUUGGUAGAGCGUCUGCUUUGCAAGCAGAAUGUCAUCGGUUCGAUUCCGUUCGGCUCCACCA